GCACUAACAACAAAUUCAACCAAGUAUUGCCAAUGGAAGUGACACCCCAGAGGUGUAUAUUAAAUUAAUGCCAACUUGGUUACAGAGCCCCAAAACGAAUAAAAUAAUAUGGGGCCAGAUGUCGCUCCCAGUUCUCUGGGCGAAUUAUGGAUGGUCGGUCAAGCAUUAAAGUUCAGCAACAUCGCAGCCGGAGACUUCCUCGACAGAUUUGGAGCAGAUAGUUGAGUUGGGCCAAUGUGGUACUUCCCGUUUCCUAGGAUAUCUGCAAGUUUGCCACUCAUUGGUGGUGCAUAUUGGACAGACUGUUUACCUGGCAGCUGUCUGCCCCAGCCAGUAUGACGCUGUAAGCCACCCAUGAAUGGCCAAAGCACCCAGCCCCUCAAUCCCAGAGGAACCCAGAACCUAGAAAACCCAUCAAGCGAUCCAGUGGCCAUUGCCGUUGACAUUGGCAUUAUCAGUGCGUGAUCAUCGUGUCGUUGUCAAUGGGCUUCGGACAGAAAUAUUAUUUACCACCCACUCCGAUAAGUUGGAGAUUAAGGGAGAUUAUAGAGCACUCCCCCCGUCAAAAAGCACAUCCACAGACCAGGCCCCCCUCCCAAAACAGAACAAAAACACCCACAUUUGCGCCCAUCUUUGUGUUAUUACUUUGUGACACUAGUUUCGAUUUCGAUUUCGCUGAUUGAUGGGAUACCUGUCCACAGUCCACAAAUUCCCAAGCGAUCAUAUAUGGGCGGAUUGUUGGAAUCUCGCCCGAAAUUCGGUGGGUAGUGUGGUUAUUCGCCCGCCCUUUAACAUAACCAAGCCACCCUCACCCUACGAACAAAGAAAAGCCAUCAUUUGAUCGAUUUUCGUUAGCUGAUUGCCAUCCUAGCUCACAAAAAUAGAUUGAAAGUUUCCAAACACGCGCUUUAAGCUCAAAAAAAAGAAAUGGGCGCCCAACAGGUGGCGUGAAUACACGGCGAGAAAAGUGGCGUGCUUUCAAGUUAUCAACUAAUUUAAUUGGCCCAAUAAAUAAACAGCUAAACAUGUUUACAUAAA